CUGUUUAAAAAUGUUAUUGUUCAGUCGUGUCCGACUCUCCGUGACCAUAGGGACCACACAUGCCAGGUGCCUCUGAGCUCCAACAACUUCAUGUUCGUGGCUUCAGUGACUUAAUCUCUCCGUCUCUGUCGUCCCCUUCUUCGUGUGCCUUCAAUCUUUCCCAGCAUCAGUCUUCUUUAGAGAAUCCUGCCUUCUCAUUAUAUGGCCAAAAUAUUUGAGCUUUGUGACCAUAGCUUCCAGUGAUUUCCUGUAGUACGGAUUUAUUGGAUCUUCUUGCAAUCCAAUGGAUUCUAAGCAGUUUUCACAAACACCGUUCAAAGGCAUCAGUUCUAGGACGCUCAGCCUUCUUUAUAGUCCAGCUCUCACAUCCGUAUGUUACUACUGGGAAUACCAUAGUUCUGACUAUGCGGACCUUUGAUAGUCUAAUAUCUUUAGUUUUUACCAGCUUGCCAUAGCUUUCCUCCCCAGAAGCAAACCCCUUUUAAUUUAAUGACUGCAGUCACCAUCUGAAGAGAUCUUUGAUCCCAGGAAAAUAAAAUCUGUCACUGCCUCCACUUCUUCC